rnacentral:rRNA from 1 species
GGGUGAGUAACACGUGGGUAACCUGCCCAUCAGAGGGGGAUAACAACGGGAAACCGUUGCUAAUACCGCGUACGAUUCAUAGACGGCAUCGUCUGUGAAUGAAAGGUGGCCUCUAUAUAUAAGCUAUCGCUGAAGGAGGGGAUUGCGUCUGAUUAGCUAGUUGGAGGGGUAACGGCCCACCAAGGCAAUGAUCAGUAGCCGGUCUGAGAGGAUGAACGGCCACAUUGGGACUGAGACACGGCCCAAACUCC